AUGCAAACAAACGCUAUUGAGGAUUUGCUAAGCUGCAUUGCACACGAAGAAACCAUUUCAAAUGAGUUAAAAAAAAGUCUUCCUGAUAUGUCAAAGGUAAGAGAUCGAAUGGCAAAAACUUUUGCGCAUAGAAGGAGAAUAAUACUUAAUUCUACCACAGCACAAAUACUAGAAGAGUAUCCAGCAUUAAGGAUUGCUACAGAGUUAUUAGAAGAGGUAAAUCUCAUAACUGGAAAUGAAGUAACCAAUAAAAUAAACUAGCUCUUUACUGCUGAAAGAUCUAUAAAAGUACUGGAGAUGGCCAAGUCGGGGAAAAGAAAUGCUAAAAAUAUUGACCUGGUGACUAACAUUGUGGCUGCCAUAGGAUCUGAGUCAAAUAUCAAUAUAGAAGCACAACAAAUAAGACCAUCGAUGUUGUGCUUGCCCGCCAUGUUUGGUGAAAAAAUUGAAAGAUGGGUCGUGAUAAAUAAGGAAUCAACUCUAAGCACACCAACAAUUAACAUUACUUGCUCAAAUCAAGCUAAUAUUCUGCAUUUUAAAGAUGUGCAUAUAGCGAUCU